rnacentral:rRNA from 1 species
GAUGAACGCUGGCGGCGUGCUUAACACAUGCAAGUCGAACGGAAAGGCCCAAGCUUGCUUGGGUACUCGAGUGGCGAACGGGUGAGUAACACGUGGGUGAUCUGCCCUGCACUUCGGGAUAAGCCUGGGAAACUGGGUCUAAUACCGGAUAGGACCACAUUUUGGAUGGUGUGGUGGAAAGUUUUUCGGUGUGGGAUGAGCUCGCGGCCUAUCAGCUUGUUGGUGGGGUAAUGGCCUACCAAGGCGUCGACGGGUAGCCGGCCUGAGAGGGUGUACGGCCACAUUGGGACUGAGAUACGGCCCAGACUCCUACGGGAGGCAGCAGUGGGGAAUAUUGCACAAUGGGCGCAAGCCUGAUGCAGCGACGCCGCGUGGGGGAUGACGGCCUUCGGGUUGUAAACUCCCUUCGCUAGGGACGAAGCGUUAUGUGACGGUACCUGGAGAAGAAGCACCGGCUAACUACGUG